rnacentral:rRNA from 1 species
GACAGAGGGUGCAAGCGUUGUUCGGAAUUACUGGGCGUAAAGCGCGCGUAGACGGUUAUUUAAGUCGGAUGUGAAAGCCCCGGGCUCAACCUGGGAAUUGCAUUCGAGACUGAAUAGCUAGGGUACGGUAGAGGGAAGUGGAAUUUCCGGUGUAGCGGUGAAAUGCGUAGAUAUCGGAAGGAACAUCAGUGGCGAAAGCGACUUCCUGGACCAGUACCGACGUUCAGGCACGAAAGCGUGGGGAGCAAACAGG